AGAGCGAACGCUGGCGGCAGGCCUAAUACAUGCAAGUCGAACGGACCCUUCGGGGUUAGUGGCGGACGGGUGAGUAACACGUGGGAACGUGCCCUUUGGUUCGGAACAACUCAGGGAAACUUGAGCUAAUACCGAAUGUGCCCCCAUCCUUAAACAAGAUGGGUGGGAAAGAUUUAUCGCCAUUGGAGCGGCCCGCGUCUGAUUAGCUAGUUGGUGAGGUAAAGGCUCACCAAGGCGACGAUCAGUAGCUGGUCUGAGAGGAUGAUCAGCCACACUGGGACUGAGACACGGCCCAGACUCCUACGGGAGGCAGCAGUAGGGAAUCUUGCGCAAUGGGCGAAAGCCUGACGCAGCCAUGCCGCGUGAAUGAUGAAGGUCUUAGGAUUGUAAAAUUCUUUCAGCGGGGACGAUAAUGACGGUACCCGCAGAAGAGCCCGGCUAACUUCGUGCCAGCAGCCGC
rnacentral:rRNA from 1 species